CGCUUCGGCGCGCAUUUGGAAUUUCGCGCCCGCUUGACCGCGGCGAGACCGGAGGGCGCGGAAGGUACGGCGCGCCGCCAUCGGCUCCUCCGACGCGGCCUGCGUGGCGAGGCGCAGGCCGGUGGCAAGCGGCGACGGCGGCCGCGGAACAGCUUCUUCAGUGAUCAUGCUGGAAUGGAGCUGCUGUUGGCGUCUUUUAGCUUCUUUACAAACUUUUUGAUGCAAAGGUGUGUUUUUAGUUUCAUCUGCAUACUUUGUAUUUCUAAACUAGUGACGGUCAAUGGUGAAAAUAAAUACUCUAGGGGUCUUUAUGAGUAAUUGCAUUCAGUUGGCACCACAUGGGCUUUACGUUUAAUACUAUUCCUGCACACAUGCAUGAAUUUGUUUCAAACCUGACAGUCGGGCUGUAACGCCAAAGUCUUCCGCAGCGACCACCUGCCACCCGCCACCGAUGUUAUCCUACGGAACUGGCGAUGCUCCUGCCCUAUCUGUAAGUCAAUUCUGAAGGCAGCAUGGAUCCGGAGUUUAGCCCCCCACCCCCCUCCUGCUCUAUCUGUAAGUCAAUUCUGAAAGCGUUACCUCUAUGGAAGAAGAGGCACCGGGCAAAUUUAAAUUUCUCCAGGCCUUGCAAAAGCAAUACAGGAGAGGUAGAGAGUAAGGUGUUAGCCCCCCUCCCCCUGCUUAUCUGUAAGUAAUUCGGAAAGUGUUACCUCUAUGGUUGAGGAGGCACCGGGCAAAUUCAAAUUUCUCCAGGCCAUGCAAAAGCAAUACAGGAGAGGUAGAGAGUAAGAUGUAGGCAAGGACGGACUUACCGGACAAGUGGCAAUCAUGUCAAAGUUUACCGCCUUGUUCUGUACUGUCGGCAAGUCAUCCUUCGCUGCAUUCCACUUUCCGCCUCUUUGUGCAUGGCUCUUGCGGCAGUGAACUCGUCACUCUGACUUCUCUAUAUCAGCUAUUCAGCUAUGGAGGUGCUUCUGGUAUACAUCGAUGGAAGGGUAUUUAUAGGGGCAGCACUGCAACUUGAUCUGGAAUGACACUGAAAAUCUCUUUUUGAAAGUUAGUGCCGUAACUUUUCCCCUUUCUAGUGAAAAUGAUGACCUAUCCAUGCGUUGGGGCUUUAUAGAUUUCCAACUUUUAAGAAUAUAUCUGCGGACCAAAAGCCUAGGAGCUGGCAUCUAUGGAAUUCUUUUGUUAGGUAGGUUAUGUGAUACUAUAUAGGUUACACUGCUGGAUGGGGCUCAGUCUACAGAAAAUUCCAGGGUUUUUUAUUAGUUGUAUAGUACCAUGGAGAAAAAAAACUAGUGGUGCUAAACUGUAAAGUAAUUUCUGUUUUUCAGCCAGUCUAAAUAGCUUCGCAUGUUGUCAUGUGCAUCAUCACAUGAUAUUUGAUCCAUGCUUCUAGUUUGCCAAGGAAUUUCAUGUGAUCUGGUACUUGGAGGGACGUGCUUCUGCCUUUAGAUUUACCUUUUUGGCUCCCCCCCUCUUGUCUCGGCACUGCAACCUUGAUAAUUUUGCAUGAUCAUUGAUUUGUGCCAUCCUUGAAAUGUUAAAUGAUACCUGCAAGCUCAAAGGAAGUUACUGUGUUGUGUGAAGCUAAAAUGUACAUUAGUGUGUGAUGAUGGGAAAGCUGCUUGGCGAACACCUGUUGCGUGUUGAAAUCACGGGUAGAUUGUAUUGAAGAAUAAAGGGUAAAUGUUCGAUCUCUGCGGCCUAAAAGUUUACCUAAAUUUAAUUCUGAGUUCGCUUCAUUUUAUUUAUUUUGGAAGAUAUCCGAGGCUUAAUAUUAUGAAAAGUCAUGGUGCACUGUUCUAAAUCACUCGAAUUUCAUGAUGCUAUUCUAAAUUACUCGAUUGGGUAUGUAGAGACUCGAUCGCAGCAGACAUCUCAUACAGGUUUCCCUAUUGGUCGAACACCACCCAAGUUGGGCUCCAAUGGUACUUUGAGCAACAACCAUCGAUCUUACUUGUAUAGUUUGAGGAAGUUUUUGAUUGGUUCAUUGAUGUGUACGGUCUGUUAACUUAACUACACAAUUUUUCUGUGAGCUGUGCCUUUCAUUGGGUUUUAUGUUUGAUUGUUGCAAGAAGAGCUUGUAAGUUUUGUAUUAAGUUUAGUCAAACAAGUACUAGCAGUAGAUGGAUCAUGUUCAUAGAGGCGUUAGGUCAUCCUGAGAUUCAGUUUGGUAGCCAAGUUGGAUGCCAACGUGCAUUAUGAAUUACUUGUAGUCUUGUACCAAUAAUUAGCUGAUUUGAUGUGGUUUUAAGGUUUGACGAGUUACACAUUUGUAUCACAAUACACAAUUUGCAGCUCCCACAUGGUCAUCAUUUCGCUAAAAAAACAAAACUUCCCAUGACUGUAUUGCGUGUAGCUGACCGGAUAUAUAUAUAUAAAUGCAAUGGCACUUUAUAGAAUCUGACUUUCAUUAUCAUAAAGUAUCUACACUGUGGUACUAGAAAUACGUUUGUCCAUUGUUCACCGCCACAUGCAUAUCUCAUAGUACAGAUCAGGCCAUGUCUAGAUCCCAUUCUGGGGUACUGCCAUUGGAUGUUUCUAUGUACCCUAUCACCAAUUUGUUUAAUAUAUGUGAAGGAGAGGCAAUUCUGUGGCAAUCAGAAUGCAAACCAAAAUUACUUAUCUACUAGAAUAACAUAACUUGCUUGCAAAAUAAGCGACAACUACUUACAUUUAACAGUGUGAUGAUCUGACUAUCGAUAAAACAAGCUGCUCUUUCAUUUGCUAUAGUGAUGUUUCAAGACAAAUCAUGGUAUUCUUAAGUUUCUCCAGUGCAACCUCCCAAGUUAUUUUAAACAACCUCUGAAGUUAGUCACCAUUCAUUACUGCUGUUGAAGCUCAUUCAAUGCUAUUGAUAAAUUGGAUUUCUGCUAUUUGAACAAUUCACGCUAUAUAACCUAUAUCUCUUUAAUUAGUUAUCUUAUGACACGUUUUAUCAGCAGAAGCUGCAAGCAUUGGUUUUCAUCCUAUAUUACAUCAGACAUCAUCAGAUGUAAUUCGGAGUAGUACUGCCUUGCUGUCUCAGCUUCUGUGGAAGUGUCCCAAUGAAGUGGACUUUUUUGCAGGUUUUAUUACAGCAUAUUGCAAUCUUCCAUAAUAGUCUGCGGUGCCAAUUAUGCAUACAUUUUUAAAAUAUUUUAUUAUGUAUACACUUUGAGUGAGUGCUUCCCCAGGAUCAUUUAAUAUAUCGAUGGCUAUAUGCCCCCAAUAUUUGAUGUUAGCACUGUAUCUGAGUAAAUAUAUAUAGGUAUACAUUUAUGGGAGGAACGGAAAUUCAGUUUAUGUUAUUAUACAGAUUCAUGUCAUUGGUCCGCAAUUCCAUGUGUUGGGCAGAAAAAUGGAUUAUCUGAGCACACAUUAUACAGGGAAUGCAAAGGAGGUACUGGCAAUCUGUCCUGGAUAUGACCACCAAAAAAUCACUAGAUUCUACUUUAUAGCUGUACCACUUAUUUUAUGAAUGAGCAUCAAUAAAAGAACUGUGUCUUCUGA